rnacentral:lncRNA from 1 species
UAUCCCAUUUUUUAUUAAGUUAUUUGGGUAGGUGGUAUCUAACUUCUUAAAUUCUUUAAAAUUUUGCAUAUUAGCCUUAUGUCAGAUAUUUGGUUGGCAAAACUCUUUCCCCAAUCUAUAUGCUUCCAUUUUAUCCUAUUGGCAGUGUCCUCUGACUUUCAGCAGCUCUGCAAUUUCAUGAGGUCCUAUUUACCCACUGUUGAUCUUAGAGCCUCAGCCAUUGGUGUUCUGUUCAGGAAAUUUUCUCCUAUACCAAUCUAAUCAAGGGUAUUUCCCACUAUCUCUUCUUUGAGAUUUAAUGUAUAUAAGCUUAGAUUUUUAUAGACCUACUUUUAAUAGGGGCUCUUAAAUGAUUUAAUGUACAUUCCAACCCUUCACUCUUCAGAGAUCUUGGAAAGAAAGUUAACAGUGCAAAAGAAGGAGAAGACCACUUUAGAAAUAAAUCUUUGGAGCAAAACAAAUCUGUGCAAUCAGAAUACAGCAGUUCAGUUCACAAGAAUGAGCAGCACCCCAAUCCCACUCAUCUCUUCCACCCUUCAUAUCUUACUUCAACCACUGCAAACCUCCCCUGUAACACAGGAAACAAUUGUCAUGGGAGAGUACUGUGUCACACUAUGUUCCAAAGUACCACCUUUUAUCCACACUUCUUUGCUUUUAAUGUUCAUUAAAAUGACACCUGGAUCUCAUAUGAAUCCUCUAACUUCUGCUGCUGAAACUACUCUUGAAUAUGCUGUCAUUGCCCUGAGUCAUGAGGAUACUAUAGUUUUAGAUCAGUAGAACCAACCUCUUCAUACAUUCAAAAAGUUAAUGGAUGUUGAGAUGGUUGAAGUGAAAGCCCUGGAACAGAACCUGAGAGAUAUCAGAGAUGGUUAGCCUGCCAGAGCCAAUGCUAUCAUGCCCACGGGGCCAGCUCACCUGCAAGCCACAUGAACACUGCCAUCUCAAAUAUGCUGCCCAAGUGAGGUGCGGGGACUGCUCUCCUGAGUGCUGCAGUCAGUUAGAGACUUGGCAAAUCCACCCACUCAAAAUCGUGGGGCCAGCUUUCUCAUCUGCAAGAGAUGGUGAUGGAUAGGAGAAAGGUGUUUCUCCCUUUUACACACAAAUGCCCAGCAAACAAAGGCAGGUCUGGUUCAUCUACAAGCACUACAUCCAGGGAAACUACCAAGGAGUCCAGAGGCAAUUAGAAGGCAGAUGUAGGAGCUAAGGCUUCUACCAUUAAUGCUACUCCAAUCCUGGCCCUGAGACAGACAUAUCCUGGGUCACCCACUCUACCAGAAAAACCUAAAUAUUGUAAGGAGGACAUCAAAAGCAAACUUCCUGUGUCUCACAAACCUGGAGAUGGUGACUUACU